UAUACUUCAACCUUGGCAUCAUCGGUCAUUUCAGUGCUUUUUGUCCUAAUCUCACAGUAUUCUACAAAAUGGUCUGAUAAGCGCUUUGCUUUUGGCCCAUGGAUGAAAGCCCUAUCUCCACCUAAGAAACAAUCUCAUGCUCCUUUGACCUCUGAUUCGGGGAUGCAUACAGAAAUUUUACCGAUGGAGAAGCAAGUUAGCUCAUCAAUAUCUGCAGAUACAGUUUUGACCAUACCUUUGGGCUCCCUGUUUUGGUUGAAAGAACCUACUCCUCCGAUAACGGUAAAUUGCUCCGAUCAAGCAUUUGUCUCUUAUGGCCCAUCCUCAUUUAUUAUCUUUCCCUUUAAGGGAAGACUCUCUUCCUAAAGAAACGAUAAUUGUAGCAUCUUGCAAAAGAAAUAGCAACCUCGAGCAGUGGCCAAUCUUUGAAUUCGGAUUGCAAUGAUCUGAUCCUUCCUUUUCCUACCGAAAGCAUUCCAAAGCUUUUUGCAGAAUACCUCAAGUCAACUGGACAACAACAUGCCGACCUCUAUGGUCUGUUUAUAGCUUUUCGUUUUUUGUGUAACUACUUUUAAGUAUUCUGACAACAUCUAGUCUCCUAAGAAGCAAGGAUUAGGGUAGCUUGUUAAGCAUUGAAAAAGAAUCUUCUGAUGGGCCGAGACUGAUUCCAGGAGAGACUAAUAGGAUUCCCUUCUCAGCCUAACUCUUAAAUACCAACAAGGAAUGUGAUGAUUUGACCCUUGCUCCUAAGGCUAGGCCUAUCACCUUAAUGCCAUGUUCCAAAGACAACCCAAUUUAGGGCCAGGCUUUUUCAUUAGGGGUAAACUCUUCCGAGUUCAAUCCACACCUGCUUCUUCUAAAGUCUCUCUUAAUACAGUCUCCGUGGAUCUCAAGUCUAUUAACAGGUGACAUAAAAGAAAGCAAUCUUUUCUGGCUAAUUGCCCCCAUCUUGAAAUCCAAAAUAAAUUCAUAGGUCCUAAAUAUCUUUUAUCUCGGAUGAGCUCUUCCAAAUGGCAAGUUAUCUGUUUUACCACUACCAUGGAAGAGAUUGGAUGUUUUUAAUUUGCAUCCUCUUUCUCCUUCUCUUUCUCAAUUCUCACAGGAACAUACUACAAUUACAUCUACAUGAGUUGAGUUCAAGAAACCCCAGUUAGUAUCUAACUCUCCCUCAAUGGUGGAGGAAGCCAAACAAAAGUGGAUCCAAACUCCCCAAUAAAGCUCCUGAGUUGGAAUUAUCAAGGUGAUUUUAAUUGUGUUAUGUGGUCUUGGGAGAAAGAAGGUUCCUUGGUCUUCAAAAACUUUAUCUCAACUGUUGGCUUAUUAGAUCUGGGUUUCUAUGGCCCUAAGUUCACAUGGAAUAAUCGCAGAUUUGGAAACGCUAACAUUUGCAAACAUCUGGACAGAUCUCUGGCAUCCUAUAACUGGAUAUAUCUUCAUCUACAUGCCAAUAUUUCACAUUUAGAUGAUCUUGGUUCUGACCAUCGGCCGCUGCUCCUCAAUUUGUAUCCCUCCACUUCUAAAGCUAAAAGGCUCUUUAAGUUCAACUCUCGAUGGACCUCUAAAUCUGAAGCUUCUGUAAUUAUUUAUGAAGCCUGGAAUGCGAAUGGUACUGCUUCUUCCUUAUUUAAUGUUUUCUCUAAAUUAAAAGCAUGCAGGCAUGCCUUAGUAUCUUGAGAUAAGCUUCAGAAUUCCAAUUCCAGAAUCCGGAUUAUCCAACUCCAAGAUAUGAUCUCUCAAUAAAAGAAAGAAAUUGGAAAGUUGGAGAAAAAGUGAAGAAAAAGCUGGAAAAGUGAUUGGGUCAG